CUGUAUUCUUCAAUCUCCUUUCUUAUAGUACAACUCCUACACUAUCACAGCCUAGGCAGGCAGAGGUGAACACGAGUGAAAAACUGGUGAUGCCAGUGCUUACAUGUCACUCAAGAGGAUCUAGGUCAAGGGGCGUGGCCACUCUCACCUGCUCUGCUCCAGCCAGCUGCAGAUCAUUCCAGUAAUCAACCACCAGUUAUCAACCCGGGCUGUUCACCUCUUCGGCGCCAGUUCGUUGCAACCAUUCUUGUGAUUCUGCCUCUGGACCUGCUGCUCACCAGCUUUCAUCUGCCUCCUCGCUGCCUGCUCACCUCGCCGCUCCACUCUCAACCAGCCAUUCCACCCAGCUGUCAUCUUCGCUGCCUGGCCACACACCCUCCUUCUGAUCUCCGGCUUCGACCCUACCUGGAGCUGCUAUCCUGGCCACCUCCCUCCUCCACUAUCAAACGACGUUUCUAAUAAACACUGUAAUCAGCU